rnacentral:tRNA from 1 species
GCCCCGAUGGUGGAACUGGUAGACGCGCCGGAUUCAAAAUCCGGUUCCGAGAGGAGUGCCGGUUCGACCCCGGCUCGGGGCACCA